GCAGAGCGUGGGGGCACAUGCCUGUAAUCCCAGUGACUUGGGACGCUGAGGCAGGAGGAUCACAAGUGCCAAGGAGGUUUCUGAUGUAGGUGGUCAGACUAUGGUGUCAAAGCUCCAGAGAAAAGGCUAAGUUGUAGGAUAAAGUACUGAAGUACUGCCUGCUGGAUUUCCUUACCUCUGAAAUUUGAGGCCAGCCCUGGGGGACCCUAAGCAAUUUAGUGAGUCCCUGUCUCAA
rnacentral:sRNA from 1 species